rnacentral:rRNA from 1 species
GGGGAAUAUUGCGCAAUGGGGGAAACCCUGACGCAGCAAUACCGCGUGAGUGAAGAAGGUUUUCGGAUCGUAAAGCUCUGUUAUUGGGGAAGAAAAAAAGACGGUACCCAAGAAGAAAGUCCCGGCUAACUACGUGCCAGCAGCCGCGGUAAUACGUAGGGGACAAGCGUUGUCCGGAUUUACUGGGCGUAAAGGGCACGCAGGCGGUUUUUUAAGUCAGAUGUGAAAGGUACCGGCUCAACCGGUGACAUGCAUUUGAAACUGAAAGACUUGAGUAUUGGAGAGGCAAGUGGAAUUCCUAGUGUAGCGGUGAAAUGCGUAAAUAUAUGGAGGAACACCAGUGGCGAAAGCGGCUUGCUGGGUCUAAACUGACGCUGAUGCACGAAAGCGUGGGGAGCAAACA